rnacentral:rRNA from 1 species
UACGGGGGGGGCAAGCGUUGUUCGGAAUUACUGGGCGUAAAGGGCUCGUAGGCGGCCAACUAAGUCAGACGUGAAAUCCCUCGGCUUAACCGGGGAACUGCGCUUGAUACUGGAUGGCUUGAGAUUGGGAGAGGGAUGCGGAAUUCCAGGUGUAGCGGUGAAAUGCGUAGAUAUCUGGAGGAACACCGGUGGCGAAGGCGGCAUCCUGGACCAACACUGACGCUGAGGAGCGAAAAGCCAGGGGGAGCAAACGGG